UCCUUCCUUUCUAUAGCAAAGUAGCACGUGUGUAUCUACCACAAAUCUACAGGCAAAUAGACUUGUUCCUGUUCACUUGUCCUUGCAAUGAAGCAUCUGCUCACUGGUUUUUUGUUUGUUUGUUUGUUUGAUCGGUUUGGAUUUUUUGGCUGUUGGUAUAUUUUUGCCCAAAUGCUCCAAUUCAAAACAUUAUCCUACCAUCUUUUUUAGUUGGUCAUUCCUCUUGUCCUUGUGGCUACAUCUCUACAGUCUCAUUAACAAACUAGUUCUGUGAGCCCUUAACACUGAGGCCCCUCGUCUGCAGCUGGAGGCAGCUCUCUGCUCAGCCUGCAGUACAGAGUGACACAGCCAGGCGACAUAGUCACUGAGCACUAACUUCUAUUAAAUCCAGGCAGACUGUGAGAACCAUAUCGGAACUGCGUCAAGACAUGAGAGAAGCGAAGGAGCCCAACCUCAUCAGUAUCUUUCCUUCCGGCAAACUGACAAGGCUGGAUAUAGUCAAGGACUCAAGUGGAUUUGAUUGCCUAAGAGGUCUGGCUGGGGUCACAAAAACUGAGCGGCAAGUAUUCUCAUAUUCUACCUUGAGGGGCUCUAUCCAGUCAUGUAACUCCUGCAAAGAAGGGCCUAGAAUCAGCUUUGCAAUUCUUGCCCACCAAGAGUCCAGCUCAUGUAAACCGCAGACCCAGACUUCAGCCAGAGGUAGGUUAAUAAAGAGGGGGGCAGCUUUUUCUGGAAAGAAUUGAUGACGGAUGUUGAGUACCAUCCACUCUUCUGUGGAAGAAUGAGAAAUGCUUCCAAUUUACCUAUAAAGUCUUGUGUGGAAGACGCUUUACUGAGACCACCCAGACAGCUUGGUAUGUGUUCCUUACAAUAUCACACACAUUCCUGAGAAAUUUCAAGAAUGCAAAUUGUGUGAAGCUCCUUGUGUCAUCAGAAUGGAGAGCUAAAGUGAAUGGUAAGAGAUUUCCACUGACAGAGGCCCAAAGCUAUGCAUGUUUCAUGGUUAAAGCUACAUGCGCAGGGAGUGGACUGAAGCUGACACUGAGCUGUGACAUUCACUCCACUGACUGUCAUACACGUGAAAACUGAUCAAGGGCAACCUGUCCAAACUACCUACAUCUUCUGUGGGAUUAUAAACCUAAAAAGAUAUUAAUGAAAAAUUAUUUAGUCAAUUCAAAUUCAGUCUUCCUAUUAAUGUACAUAAUACAUGCAUAUUACUUUCACUAGUACUUUCGUCAAAGUCCCUCUAUCCCCUGGGUGGUGGGCUUCUCUCCCCAGCAGCAGUCUAGGCCAUUACUGCGGAUUGGGUUCCAUACAAUGACCCUUGUUAAUCAGAAUGAGAUCUGCAUUUGUCUGGCUAGAUUACUCUAGUGUUGGGAGAGCAGAGGAACAACCGGGGCCCUGAGGUGAGAAAAAAGUACCUUUGAACUAUAAAACGCUUUAUUCUCACCUGUAGCAAGGAACUCCUUUUCUAGAACUGGUUCCCCUACAAGUGUGGUUCCCAUUCUGACCCUUGGCUAUGAUUGGCUAUAGGCAAAGUAAUCCUAAUGUGUUAAUCCUAGAUGUUAUCAGCACACAUAUAUUCUUUCUGCUACUCACACCCAUAUUACCAUAGCUUUUAUAGAUAUACCAAUUAAACAAUUUUCAUUCACUGGUGCAGAUAAGAUACUGUGGCUGUGAUUGGAAUUUAAUAUCCCAAUUUGUGCACUCACAUUCUUUAAACCCAAUGACCAGGUGCAGAUCAUAGGAAAAAAUCAGCUGGAGUAAUUUUAGGAGUAGCUCAAGAUAACUAUCUGGGGUUUGGGUUGAGGUGACCUCUGUGGAAAGAAGCCAGAAACAUAACACAACCUGAGACUGGGUCAUCAGUUACACACAACAGGAAAUGCUUUUAAUUGCAUCAAGAGACUCAGUGAUUGGAGGUCUCCAGAAGAACCUUUACACAUCCAUGAAAGAAAGAAUGAGAUUCAAUAUUUUCCAUGGCCAGAGUCAAUGCCAAUCAAGAAAGCCUUUUCCUGUCCCUUAAUUUUCUUCCCUUCCCUGUUUCCACAUUAGAGGAGCCCGAUAAGUAGGAAGGAAAAGAAAUAGAAUCUAAAACUAGGACAAUACUGCAGAAGUCAACCAUGCCCCCUGCUUCCCGCCUGAAGGCUUCCCAUCAAACUGAAGACAGAUGAAGAGACAGAAGCCGUAACAUUAAAUUACGAACACUCUGAGUUUCAACUACUGCAUGGGACUGGACAUUUAUGUAGUUAUUGAAUUAAGUGCGCAUUAUGAUUCACAGUGUUUGAAGGACUUUUUAGUUUCUGAGAGUGAUCAGAAAAAUGAUAGAUUUCACUCCAGGAAAAGGGAAGGCUAGCCCAACAGAGUGGUGGUUUGGGAUGAAAGUAGUUGCUUCCUAAUUGUAUCCUAAGUGUCUCACUUCUUCAGUGGUUGCCUUAUAUGUUUAUAGAUCAAUUUCCUUGUCAUACUAUUCACACUUUUUUAUUAGAGGUUGGCAAACUACAGUCCUAGGCCAAAUCUUGUCUGUCACCUGUAGUCGUGAAGGGUAGAAGAAUGUGCCACCUCAAAAUAAGACUGUAGGAGUUCAGGACAUGCCACCCCAAAAUAUGCACUUUGGUAUAUUGAUUCUUUUGAAGUGUGGGCACUUACGUACACGUAUCUGUACUUCCAUUAUUUGCUUAAAAAGUAAAUUCUCCAAAAGGAAUCUGAUUGUUGUAGAUCGCCUCCCCAGGACUUUUCAUCGAUCAGGGAAGAUUGACUCUUAUCCCAAGAGAAGAGACUAGAAGUUGACACCUAGCCCAGACAGACUUUGUCACAGACAAUCAUACCUCCCAUCUAUUCUGUCUUAAAAAUCAUUUACUCUUCCCUAAGAAGUGUAUAUCCCUCCUCCCCUUUACCCAUUAAAAUGACAUUUAAUUCUGAAUCCUAAGCCCACCUCUGUGAAAAUUUAUUCACUUUUCCUGGGUAUCUCUGAUGUAUACAUGAGAAGUUAAUAAAUUUCUGUUAGUUUUUCUCUUGUUAGGCA
rnacentral:lncRNA from 12 species